UGUCCAAGUGACGACGUCUCAUUAACAUCUUUGUAGCGCUGUGACCAAGGUCUUAGACGACAGACCUGMUGUUUAUAAGUUCAUCAUCUAUGAAGUCCCUUAUACAGGAGAGGAGAAGCUGAGUGGAAAUAAAAUAACUCAAGAUGAAUAAAGGCCUACAUGUCAACUCAUUUUAAUAUGGUUGUACCACUGUCUGUUUUCCCUUCACAUAAACAGAUGGGUACAUAAUCUGAGGUUAGGUUCAAUUUGAAUUAUAUCUGGAGAGUAACAUUUCUGUUAAUCAGACCAAACAAUAUCACAGUACUGUCAUAUUCUCCUGUUGAAUCCAUAGACUUGUAAUGAUCAAUCAAUAUAAUGGCUAAAUCAGAUGAAGCUGUCACCCAUGAGCCAGUAGAAGGGAACAAUGUGUCUUUACAUGGCAGCCAUUGUGGGGUUCACUCCGGUGAUUGGGUCAGAUUGGGCCUAGAUGGCGACUGAUGUAGAGGAUUUACAGGGGCAUAUAGGGUGGCCAGUCUAUAGACAUACAAUGUAAUACCAUUCAUCUAGUGCUCCAUGUAACUCUGGAUCCACAACCCCAUCUCCAUUUAAAAUCAGGAGUAACCAACCCGUCGAUCGCGGUCGACAAGUCGAUCUUGGAAGCAUCAAACUAACGAAACGAUGGAAGCACAACGGAAAAAGCCAAAUAACUUAUAAUUUUCAUGUAGAAUGGAAACACGAUUUUCUGUUCACGGUAGUUAAUGACAAAAGGUUUUUCCACCAGGCUGUAGUGCUCGCUAAAAGGGGUAACGUGGAGGGCACCACAACACCAUCCAUCCCAAGUUCAAAGAAACCUACCCGCUAAAGAGCACCCUUCGUUCAAAGAAAGUCGACGAGCUCAAGUCUAUAUUGAAAGCACAGCAGUCGCUUUUUACCAAACCGACAGCUAACAGUAAGGCUGCAACAGAGGCAUCCUUCCGUGUCAGCCAUCUCUUGGCUAAACAUAAGAACCCGUUCACUGACGGAGAGCUAUACCUGGAGGCAAUGGCCGCUGCCCCCGAGACAUUAUUCAAAGAAUUCAAAAACAAAGAGGACAUUAAAAAUGCUAUCGGAAGUGUUCUACUUGGACCAGCCACUGUGACAAGAAGGGUAGAGUUGUUAUAGGAGGACGUGAAUCAACAAGUGCUCAAGGAUAUCACUUUAUGAGUGCUUUUCGCUGCAAUUUGACGAAUCCCAGGAUAUGACAGACACUGCACAGCUGAUGGUGUUUGUUCGCAUGGCUUUUAAGGUUUCAACUACUAAGGAGUCUUACCAUUAAAAGGGAGGACGAGAGGUGAGGACAUUUGCAACGAGUUUAAAACGUUACGUGCAUGAUAACAGCGUUCCCAUUCAUAAGCUGGUAGCGAUCACUACAGACGGACACCGGCAAUGCGUGGGGUGCAUUCGGGCAGUCGUGAUCCCGAUUACCGAGUUUUUUAACUAUCGCUGUGUGAUCCAUCAGCAAGCACUAGCUAGUAAAAUAGUGGACUUGUCUCAUGUCAUGACACUUGUCAUUAUGAUUGUUAAUUCGAUUCGCGCAAAAGGACUUCAGCACCGCUUGUUUAAAUCUUUAUUAGAUGAGCUUGAUUCCGCAUACGGGGACUUGAUUCUCCACGCUUGUGUAAGGUGGUUGAGUCGCGGGAAAGUACUGCAGCGAUUUGUUGACUUGUUGCCCSCGAUCAAAUCAUUUCGGGAGUCUCGAAACAUCGAGACAUCGGAAACAAAGGGUGUUUUUCUCCCGCAAGAAUUCUGUGCCCACCUGGAGAAACUGGCAUCUGAAUUCAACAGGCGUUUUCAGGAGUUAAAUGACAUAGGGGAGGUUGUUGCAUUUAUCUCAAACCCUUUCAUCCCCAUUGGGAUUCAGGAGGUGGCUGCCAAAUUCCAGCAAGUAUUUGCUUCACCAAUCGGAGUUGACAUGGAGAUAAUUGAAUUGCAAAAUGACAUCGAGUUGAAAGCAAGAUCAAGAGACAGCGACUUUUGGGGUCCUGUAAACACUGAAAAGUUUCCCCUCCUUUCAUCCUGCGCACUGAGGGCGAAGGCCUACUUUGUAUCAGCAUAUCUCUGUGAGAUGGCCCUUUCACAGAUGAAAAUAAUCAAGUCAAAGAACAGGUCUUGUCCAACUAAUAGACAUCUCACAGACAGUUUGACGCAGAAAGGCUGAUACUGUGAGCCAGACUACAGAGCACUUGCUGAUAGUGUGAAAUCACAGCCAUCACAUUGCGUGUGGGAGGGGAUCUCAUCCACGGCCAUCAGAGUGAGUGAGUAUUUGCUAGUUUGAAAUGUGUUGUAGGCUAAAUUGUUUACAACAGGAUAUGAUCUGUGUUGUAUGUUGUUCAAGAAGGGAAAGUGAAACAGUACUGUACACGAUUGGCUUAGGCCUGUAAUUGACUGAUUUGUUGAGGGAAUGAAUGGUAGUAGGGCUGUGAUUUGUGUGAAAAUAUUUUGGAACAAUUGAAUGACGUGACUGUUGUCAUAACAUUUUGAAUGCUAGUUGCACUUACUUGAGUUUUGUCAUUUUGAAGUGUCUUGAAAUAUGAUGUUUAAAAAGGGAAAGUGAAACUGUACAUGAUUGGCUUCGGCCUGUAAUUGACUGAUUAUUGAGGUUAUAUAUGAAUGAUUAAUGAGUAAUAGGCCUGUGGAAAUAUUGAAAAAUGUAAUAUGACUGUCAUAAAAUGUUGAAUGAUAGUUGCACUUACUUCUGAUUAUACUAUUUGUAUAAUUAAAUSAAUACUUUGCUUGUGACUGACAGGUAACAAAAAUAAAGAAUGUCAAAGUGGAACUA